UUCUAAAUUUUGGAUUAACUUUAUCAAUAUCUCCUAAUUGUGCAAUUUUUGAAUUGUAUUUUUCAGAAACCUGGAGCGAUUGUUACCAAUUGCGAUAUGAGAGUAUCAGUUGUAUAAUAGCACGACUAGGAAAAGAUGAUUUAUUUGGGUCCUGGCACUCCUGAGAAGUAUGAACGUGGCGUUCGCUCAAAUAGGAUCAGGCAUAAACGCUCGUCAUCCCUAAAGUGAUAGAAUUGGAGUAGCAUAUCAGGAGGUUUUGAGCACAUUUGCCUUUGGAAGUGAUCUCACCUUGUGAUGCUAUGCUUACAUCCCAAGAUGACGAAGAUGACUCGAUAGUGGUUAGGAUGACGAAGACGACUUAGAGUGUUGCAUCUAUUAUGCCUCCAAGGUGGACGCUCAAUUUGAGCUAUGUCUCCAUAGAUCCUGCAUUGGCUGCAUAACCAGACACCUUCUCAACUGCCAAAGAUGUUUCUUUUUGCAAUGC